GCAGCCGCCGCGGGAAUACAGAGGGUGCGAGCGUUAAUCGGAUUUACUGGGCGUAAAGCGUGCGUAGGCGGCUUCUUAAGUCGGAUGUGAAAUCCCUGAGCUUAACUUAGGAAUUGCAUUCGAUACUGGGAAGCUAGAGUAUGUGAGAGGAUGGUAGAAUUCCAGGUGUAGCGGUGAAAUGCGUAGAGAUCUGGAGGAAUACCGAUGGCGAAGGCAGCCAUCUGGCCUAAUACUGACGCUGAGGUACGAAAGCAUGGGGAGCAAACAGGAUUAGAUACCCCUGUAGUCCCUGUCUCUUAUAA
rnacentral:rRNA from 1 species